UUGACCUCGAAUCAGGUAGGACUACCCGCUGAACUUAAGCAUAUCAAUAAGCGGAGGAAAAGAAACCAACAGGGAUUGCCCCAGUAACGGCGAGUGAAGCGGCAACAGCUCAAAUUUGAAAUCUGGCCCCCCGGGGCCCGAGUUGUAAUUUGCAGAGGAUGCUUUUGGCGAGGCGCCUUCCGAGUUCCCUGGAACGGGACGCCACAGAGGGUGAGAGCCCCGUCUGGUCGGAUGCCGAGCCUCUGUAAAGCUCCUUCGACGAGUCGAGUAGUUUGGGAAUGCUGCUCUAAAUGGGAGGUAUAUGUCUUCUAAAGCUAAAUAUUGGCCAGAGACCGAUAGCGCACAAGUAGAGUGAUCGAAAGAUGAAAAGCACUUUGAAAAGAGGGUUAAAUAGUACGUGAAAUUGUUGAAAGGGAAGCGCUCAUGACCAGACUUGGGCCCGGUGAAUCAUCCAGCGUUCUCGCUGGUGCACUUUGCCGGGCUCGGGCCAGCAUCAGUUUGCCCCGGGGGAUAAAGGCUCUGGGAAUGUGGCUCCUCCGGGAGUGUUAUAGCCCUCUGCGCAAUGCCCUGGGGCGGACUGAGGUUCGCGCAUCUGCAAGGAUGCUGGCGUAAUGGUCAUCAGCGACC
rnacentral:rRNA from 1 species